ensembl:lncRNA
UUCUGGUCAUUGGAAGACAUAUACUAGAAUAUUCUCAGUAGAAUUAUUUCUCUUGGCUGAAAACUGGAAAUGCUUAUCUUGGCAGAUUGCAAUAAUAGUCACAGUUCUCUGCAGCCCAUCCCAUUAGAAGGCAGAGUCUAUUUCUUCUCCCUUGAAUCUAUGUUGGUCAUGUGAUUUGCUGUGGCCAAUAGAGUGUGGUGGAAGCAACGUGCACCAGUACCAAGCCUAGGUUUUAAGAGGCCUUUUGCUCUCUUGGAACUUGCAGUUGCUGUGUGAAAAGUCUAGGCUAACCUGCUGGAGGAUGAGUGAUGGGUGGAGCACAGAUGAAUUUUCAGAGUUGGCUUCAUCUGAGACUAGCCAGCCCUAGCUGUGGAAGGCAGACACAUAGCAAACCCAGCCAAGAUCAGCCAAGCCCAGCCCAGAACAGAAGAACCACCAGGCUGAUCCCUGUCCAAAUCUACUUCUGGAAGCAUGUGCUAAAUAAACGGUUGCUGUUUUAAGCCACUAAGCUAUGGGAGGCUUUGUUCCCCAACAAUAACUAAUGGAUACAUCAUCAACAGUAAAAUGGAUAAAUGAAUUGUGGUAUAGCCACACAUGGAAUGACAAACAUGAAGGAGAAUAAAUAAACUACUGCUACACAAGACAACAUGGAUGAACCUCACAGAUACUAUGCUGUGUGAAGGAAGCUCAACAGGCAGAGUCCAUCCUACAACAUGCCAUUUAUACCGAAAGUACAAGAAUAGUUGCUGGAGAGCCAGUGGGAUUGCACCUUAUGCAGAGGACAGGUGCAUAAGGGGAAAAUCACUGAGAAUCAAAAUGCCCUUGAAAAUUCCUUGGGAAGCCGUCAUGUUGAAGCCAACCACCAUUUCUCAAUAAAUUCAGCACAGCCAGCUUUUCCUCCUGCAUUAGGACAGAUCGCUGUUUCUCCUGUCAAGCUCCAGAUACAGUAAAGUCACUCCAUUGCUCCUCUUUGAGCCAUCUGGAAAGUCACCUCAUCUUUCCAGACCUCAGCAUCCUCAUCUGUAAAUUGGGGGGCAUGUGGACUUGGACAGAACGGGCCCUCUCUGUCGCUUGGAGAGUCUAGGAUUGUAAGCUGCCCUCCAGGAGAUCAAAACACCACACAAUGCAGGCACUGGACAGACACGGGACACAGGGGCUCUGCUAGGGUACCUGGUGCUACAGAAGAGGGCGGGGAUUACCAGGCUCAGGAAGGAAGGUUGUUGGGAAUGAAGAUUGCAGACACGCUGCAAGAUGCAAGGCUGAGGUGCAUGCAGCGCACCGUGGCUUCAGGUGGGGACAGGCCUGGGGCAGCUUUUCCAGAUGGCAGGUCUGCUUUCUCCCAGCCCCGACAUGCCUUUCUGAAGUGUAAAGCAGCCCAGUCCUGGCCUCAGAAUGCUAGGGUGAACAUUUGGAGAAUGGGGUUCCAGCCACUGCAGAUGGAUUCAGAGGCACUAGAGACACAAAGAGAGCAAGAAUGAAAGGGAGGGGACCUGAAGGACAGACAGACACCCAGGGGCAGGAGAGAGAGCAGAGGGCUCUCCACUUGGCAAAUAUUUGUUGAGUGCCUACUAGGUGCCAGAUGCUGUGUUUGGGGCAAAGAGAGACAGAAGUAGAGAGAAUGGGAUAGGAGAAAGGAAGAGAGAGAAAGAAAAAGAGUCAGAGAAAGAGAGAGAGGAAGAGAGAAGCGUAUGGGAGAGAGAGAGAAAGAGAAAGAAGGAAGGAGAAAGGAAGAGAGAAAGGGAGACAGACAAAGAGAGGAAGAGAGAAAGGGGGAAGAGAGAGAAAGGGAAAGAGAAAGAGAGAAAGGGAGAGAGGGAAAAGGGAGAGAGAGAGAAAUGGGGGGAGAGAGAGAAAGGGAGAGAGAAAGCAACAGAAGGGGAGAGUGAGGAAGAGGCAAAGGGAGUGAGAGAGACAGAGGGAGAGAGAAAGAGAUAGACAGAGGGAAAGGGAGGAAGAGGAAAAGAGAGGGGAAAAGGGAGAGAGAGAGACGGAGAAAGAAAAAGAGAGAAAGCAAUAGAGAGAGAAAGAAGGAGUGGGGAGAGGGAGGGAGGGCAGGAGAGCGAGGGAGGAAGGGGUGGAGAUAGAAUGAGCCUAGAACCCGGUGGCUGGAGUU